rnacentral:rRNA from 1 species
GCCGUCGCCUGCAAGUCGAGCGGACAGAAGGGAGCUUGCUCCCGGAUGUUAGCGGCGGACGGGUGAGUAACACGUGGGUAACCUGCCUGUAAGACUGGGAUAACUCCGGGAAACCGGAGCUAAUACCGGAUAGUUCCUUGAACCGCAUGGUUCAAGGAUGAAAGACGGUUUCGGCUGUCACUUACAGAUGGACCCGCGGCGCAUUAGCUAGUUGGUGGGGUAAUGGCUCACCAAGGCGACGAUGCGUAGCCGACCUGAGAGGGUGAUCGGCCACACUGGGACUGAGACACGGCCCAGACUCCUACGGGAGGCAGCAGUAGGGAAUCUUCCGCAAUGGACGAAAGUCUGACGGAGCAACGCCGC